AGCGAACGCUGGCGGCAGGCCUAACACAUGCAAGUCGAGCGCCUCGCAAGGGGAGCGGCAGACGGGAGAGUAACACGUGGGAACAUGCCCUUCAGUACGGAACAACCAAGGGAAACUUUGGCUAAUACCGUAUACGUCCGUAAGGAGAAAGAUUUAUCGCUGAAGGAUUGGCCCGCGUCUGAUUAGCUAGUUGGUGAGGUAAUGGCUCACCAAGGCGACGAUCAGUAGCUGGUCUGAGAGGAUGAUCAGCCUCACUGGGACUGAGACACGGCCCAGACUCCUACGGGAGGCAGCAGUGGGGAAUAUUGGACAAUGGGCGCAAGCCUGAUCCAGCCAUGCCGCGUGGAUGAUGAAGGCCCUAGGGUUGUAAAGUCCUUUCGGCGGGGAAGAUAAUGACGGUACCCGCAGAAGAAGCCCCGGCUAACUUCGUGCCAGCAGCCGCCGUAAUAC
rnacentral:rRNA from 1 species